rnacentral:rRNA from 1 species
UACGUAGGACGCGAGCGUUAUCCGGAUUUAUUGGGUUUAAAGGGUGCGUAGGCGGACUGUCAAGUCAGCGGUAAAAUUGAGAGGCUCAACCUCUUCCCGCCGUUGAAACUGGUGGUCUUGAGUGGAUGAGAAGUACGCGGAAUGCGUGGUGUAGCGGUGAAAUGCAUAGAUAUCACGCAGAACUCCGACUGCGAAGGCAGCGUACCGGCAUCCAACUGACGCUGAGGCACGAAAGCGUGGGGAUCAAACAGG